GCCAAGUCGUGAGGAAGAGAAAGCCCAGGCAGAGCGAACAACAAAUGUUAACGUUGGAGGUACGCCCGACACCGGUGUGCGUGGGGAGGGGUGCAAGCGUGCACGGGGGCUUGCAUUCCCGUGCAGGUUUGUGCAUGCCCUCUUUGGGACACCUGUGUCAUUGGCAGGCCCUGUGCAGCACUGGUGUCUCCCUCCCUCUCAUGAUUUUAAUGAGGCCUCACUCCAGCCAAGGUGAGUGUGUGGGCGAACGUGUCACAUAGUGGGAAGCGGGAGGGCUGUCUUCGGCAGCCAGGGGAGGGCCUGGACGGAGGGGCAAGAUCUGUGGCUGGGUCCUUUGCAGGCUCCUCCGCAAUCCUCCCCCCACCCCUGCCCCCCAUCGGGCAGACAGACCCCCUUGGAAACUCAGACUCUUGAUCAGAAGCCUCCAGGCCUCUGCUGAUCGUUGCUUCCACUGGUGAGCGGCAGAGAGAAGGGAUUAAGGGAGGAGGAAAGUCACAGAGCUGGAGCCCACUGGAAAGAGCACUCUGAGGAGAGACAGGGAUGCCUGGGCCCAAAUUCCGGCUUGCGACCUGGAAUAAGCGGACCCAUCUGGCCUCAGUUUCCCUGUGAAAUGGGGGAGGUGUGGGAGGUUUGAACUUGAACAUUCUUUCAGGCCUGGGAUUUAAAGAAAUGAGGGGUUGAGGUAUUCCUAAGCAAUGCAGAGAAAGGGGACCCCCCCCACACACAAAAGAGAUGGAAACCUCAGUGACAUAGCCCUGUUUCUGUUUGUGGGACUGAGCAUCUGUCUGGUCUCUGUCCCCCUCCCCAGCACUGAGGCCACCGGGAAAGCUGGUCAAUCUGGUCUCUCCACACCUCAGUCCCUCAAUUGGGUCCCACCCCCGCCUAGAGGUGGGCAGGUGGCACGAACGAGCCCAGCUCGAGCCCUGGCAGUCCUGGCCAGGCGCCCUGCNNNNNNNNNNNNNNNNNNNNNNNNNNNNNNNNNNNNNNNNNNNNNNNNNNNNNNNNNNNNNNNNNNNNNNNNNNNNNNNNNNNNNNNNNNNNNNNNNNNNNNNNNNNNNNNNNNNNNNNNNNNNNNNNNNNNNNNNNNNNNNNNNNNNNNNNNNNNNNNNNNNNNNNNNNNNNNNNNNNNNNNNNNNNNNNNNNNNNNNNNNNNNNNNNNNNNNNNNNNNNNNNNNNNNNNNNNNNNNNNNNNNNNNNNNNNNNNNNNNNNNNNNNNNNNNNNNNNNNNNNNNNNNNNNNNNNNNNNNNNNNNNNNNNNNNNNNNNNNNNNNNNNNNNNNNNNNNNNNNNNNNNNNNNNNNNNNNNNNNNNNNNNNNNNNNNNNNNNNNNNNNNNNNNNNNNNNNNNNNNNNAGUGUCGGCUGGGUGUCAGGAUCACCAGAGACUGAACCAAAGACAGAGGAGAGACCCACAGUCUGCAGAGAGGAUGGCUGUAGGGUCCUGGAAGACUGCAAGCCGGCCUGGAUGGUGGGGGGUGGCAGCUACUAGGACAGGCAGGAGGGUCCCGCUCUCCAUAGCUCCCAGAGGCAUCAGGAAAGUCCUGUUCAAUCUGGGCGGCGAAGGGGGGCAGCCCUGUAAAUCCAGAAGGUUCCCAGAAGGUCGCUGGCCAGCCCCAGACAUCCUCUCCUGGAGUGAAGGUGAAGGAGGUUGGGAGGUGGGGUCUCAGAGAUGUCGCUUUGCUCACUUUACCCCGAGUCUAGAGAUGGGGACAAGAUGAGGUGCUGUGGGGUGCAAAGUGCCCCUUUCCCUCUUUGAUGGGAAUUUGAGGCCCUUUUCUUUGUCUAAAAUUUGAAGAGCAGAGUAGUUUCUAGAUGCUAUUCCCCUGGGGACUCUGGCAGGAGGGGUGUGCUGCAUUCUGGUGACUUCUGGCCUGUGGAAUGGUGAUGGUGGGGCCAGGGGCGGGGGUCCAAGUCUCUUCUCUCAGUUCAGAUCCCCAAGCUCUGGUGGGUAGGCCUGGCUCUGAGGAAUCGGUGCAGCCUCUCUUGUUGGCCUGGACUGCCCCCCUGCCCCUGGGGCCUGCUUGGCACAGGGCCACACCUUGUAUUCAUGAGCAAAACAUAUAUAACAUAUAUAUAUAUAUAUAUAUAUAGCUAUAGCUAUAGAUAGACAUAUAGAUAUAUAGAUAUAGAUAGACAUGCCGAUAUAUAGUUAGAUAUAGAUAUAGACAUAUGAUAGAUAUAUAGAUAGAUAGAUCUAAAGAAAGUGAGAACAGAUACGAGAUGAAAAUGCCAACUGCAUCUCGUAUCUGUUCUCAUUCAUUCAUCAAAUUCAUUCAUCAAACACGUAUAAAUACAUACUGUGUGGAAAGCACUGUGCCUUGUGCCAAGGCCCCAGAUUUCAGGCUGCUCAUGGUCUAGUGGGAGAAUAACAUGAGUCUAGACAUUCAAAUCCAACAAACUUUUGUGAGCGCCUGCUCUGCCCAGACACGCACCCAAACUGAAAAGCAAAGAGCACCAAUGACAUUACAUUUGGUGGGCCAUGGGUCGGCCCCCCAGCUCCCUCUUCCCCCAACUUCGUCUGAGCCCAGGCAUAUAGGAAGGAGGGAGAACAGUGACAAUGGCAAGUGAGGGCCUGACCCUCAAAACAAAUCUUUGCUUUAGGUUCUAAUGGGAAUCCUGCCUGCUGAAGCGUACAUUCUUUUUGUUCUUGGGUGUGAUGGGGAGCGGUACCAGCAUCUCCCCCAGGGACCCCCUUCUGAUGCCUCUGAAGAAAGGCUGUCAGUCUCGCACCCUCCGGGGAGUCAGCUGGCUCAUUUCCUUUGGGAAGCAGAGAAUCGUGUGAAUGGUUCUCACCCCGUACCUGGCACACAGCGAGUAUGCCACAGGAGUUUGAUAAACGGAUGAAGAAUCGAGAAGUAUGUGGUAGACUGUGUUUUCCAAAAUUGGCCUCAGUAAUGUUCCCGGUCCUGUAUUAGCUCUUCCAGAACCUGACCACCCCUCAUCAAAAGGUGGAUCUCUUUUCUCUCCGACUGAAAGGUGGCUUUGUGACCGCCUCUGCCAGGAGAAUGUGAUACGGCUCCUCCUGGGUCUGUUUCUCUGGAUGUUCACCCUGGGAACCUGUCUCUAUGCUGGGGGAAAGCACAGGCCACGUGGAUGGACCCCAUGAAGGUGCUCUGGAUGGUGGUCCAAUAGGAGGUCUCAGCCGAUAGGCAACAUCGGCUCCCAGGCACAUGAGUGAGUGAGCCUCUGGUCACUUCAGCCCCCGUCCUUCACGCCACCCUGGCUGGUGCUGGGUGGAGUAGAGAUGGCCUGUCUCCACCAAAUCCUGCCCAAGUUAGAGAUUCCCGAGCAAAAGAUAGGUUGUCAUUGUCUUAGGCCGCUAAGUUUUGGGGUGGUUUGUUAUGCGGUGAGAGAUAACCAGAACGACAUAGAUUUUAAAUGGCCACAGAUUCUCUGCAACUCUUCCCACCAAGAGAUGGUGGGAUACUCCCCAGCCCUCCAAUCUGGGCUGCCUUUGACCAGCAGAAUACAAUGGAAGUGAUGUCACAUGAUUUCCAAGCCUAAGCCUCAAGGGCAUUGCAGCUUCUGUUUGCUUGCUCUUAGUGCCUGGAGACUCCGUGAGCAGGAAUGAGCUAUCCUCCUAGAUCCUGGAGACAUGAGGUCCCGCCCACAGGCAGCACUGACCUCCAAACACGUAAGUGAAUCCAUCUGCAACCAUCCUGACUGCGGCCACACCAGGGGUCCUAGGUCAGAGCCCAGUCCAAAUCACUGACGCCCAGUCCUGGGCGUCAAUGAAACGGUUCUUGUUUGAAGCCGCUGCGUUUGUUACACAUCAACGGAUAAUACCUGAUAAUACCAGCUUUUAAUUUCUGAAUCAACAUGUGGAACCGAGAGGUGUUUUGGGUGCCCAGUGCCGCGUGGGGGUGGAGGCAGGACACAGGAUUCUCGGCUCUAGGAGCUGAUGGCCUCGUUGAGUCACGGGGAAAAUGAAGUCUCACACCGGAGUCAGAUCCCUCGCUGACAGCUCAAACCCAUCCUCCCUUCAUCAUGGGGAUCGCAUCGUGGCUCAGCAGCACGUGGCUACCCAGCUGCGCCUUGUUUCCUAGCCUCCUCUGCAUCAGGAUUUGUCACAUGACCGGGCUGUCUCCAAUGGGAUGUGGGAGGGAGUGGUGGAGGCCACGCGCGGGCCAGAGCCUGUAAGGACAGUGGGGCUGUUUUUCCUCCCUACGGGAAUAAAAGGAGCCAGUCUCUGCUUUUCGGUGACGAGAGCCGCUCACCACCCUAGUCAGGAUCGUUGAGAAAGUUCUAAUCCUCUCAUUUAUGCUUUGCGUUCUCUGUUGUAGGAGGUUAGCUUUAUCCUGUUUCCUACUGCCAGCCUCUCCUGCAAGGCAGCCCGUGUCUUAUGUCCAGACCAGAAGCUGGGGGCUGGGGUUGGGGGAGGUGGGGGGCGGUUCCUUCCUUAGACUGUGAGCUCCCAGAAAGCAAGGAUUUCUGUCUGUUCUUUUUGUUCACAGCUAUGUCUCCGGGCCAGUGCUGGAAACGGAGCAUGACAGAUAGAUGCUUACUAAGUGUUUGUUGAUUAGAUGAAUGAACCAGGGAAGGAGAAGGAUUUCCUAGUAAUUCUGGAAGCUUCAAAAGGGCUUAGGUCGGGGAGGCCUCAGACGGAGACCCCCUGAGGGCAAGGCUCCCUGCACUUUCUCAGGCUGAGAGCAGCUCUCUGGGAAGCUGAGACCAGUGCAGGGCAAGACUCUUGGCUGUCCCUCCCUGGCCUCCCAGCCCCCUGUGACGUGGCAGUGGCUAUGGCAGGAGCCACAGAUGGCAUCCAAUGAUGCCAGAGGGUGGUUAAGCACCCUUGGAAUGAAGCUUAGCCUCAUUACAGCUUGUUUGAAAGAAGAGCCAAUUAGGGAAGCAAUUUUUCUUGAGCAGUCUGAAGAAUGGAGUAAAACGAUACCCAAUCAGACAGGAAGCCAGCAGCCCCCACACCUCAGCUGGCUCUAUGGAGGCCCCCUGUCUGCCCCCUCGCCUCCUAGGAGUGCCCCCACCCCGCCUCCCAGCCACCUGGAUAGAGCCAGUGGGUAGAAAGGGGCAGUCGAGCCCCACCUGAUGCCUCAGGGCUCCAAAAGGCGUCUUGACCAAUCCCCUCCCCCAUCGAGCACUCAACUAACUUUGACCACUCCCAGCUUCUAAGAGCCUCAUGCUCCUGGCACUAGGAAGUUCUUGAUCACUAAGUGUCCUCUUUGGAGCUGUGAUUUCUUUUCAUCAUAUUCUUUGUGGGGAAAGAAAACAGGAAGCACACUUAGGAGAGGCUCAAAGUCCCCUUCAGAACCUCCCUUCUCCAUCCAGGAAGCCCUGUGCCUUCUGUCACCAGCAGAUGACAGAAAGAUGGUUUCCUGGGACUACUACAUCGGCCAGGACUUGAUGGGGAGCACAUGACAAACCCAGCUUAAGUGAUUGAACUAAGGCAAAAGAAAAAAAAUGGGGGCGGGGAGAUUUGUGGGAAGGAUUUGGAAUAUCUCUCCUAAUCAAAGGACAAGCAUGAGAACCUGGGGGACCACUGGAACCCGGGACUCAAACACCGUCACAAAUUCUCUCAUUUCUCUCUGGUCUCUACUCCUCCACCUAUUGGCCAGAGCCUCUCUGACCCUCCUCCACUCGGCAGGCACCAUGGCUCUUCCUCGUGUCCCACAGCAUUUCCGCCAGGAGGUGCUGAACCUCUCCCAGCUCCAGUUUGAAGAACCCCAGGGAAAAAUUCUGGCCCAGCUUUGAGCAUGGGCUCAAGCCUCAGCUGAUCAUCGAUGGCCAAAGAGUGGGAGGCACGAUAAAUGCCCUCUACUGGGGUCAGCUGGACAGGUGUGGGCAGCUCCCCCAAAGUAGGGGGAGGCCAAUCCCAGAAGGAGGCUAGGGGCCGGGAAGGCUAUAUAAUAGUUCCCAGUUAUGGGGACCUUUGCUCACUAGGUACCAGCAUCUUGUCAAAUAGUCUAUCUCAUCUCUAUUUCUUGAAACAAGCAUGAGACAAGGUUCUAGUAUCAUCCAUGAUCUACAGAUGAGGGCCCUGAAGCUCAGAGAAGUGAAAUAACUUGCCUCAGGUGACGUAGCUGUUAAGUGAGAGAGCCAGAACUUGAACCCAAAACUUUUGGUGGCAUAAGUCGGGGAGGGAGGAAGGUCCAAUCCAUAUAAGCUAAAGCUUGGACACAUGAAGUGGAGCUUAUAAUACCAGGUGGGCUGUGCCAUGUGUCCAAAGCAGAGCCUACCCAGAGCUGAAGGAAGCCAGACCCAGGGGGCAGAGUUGAGCAGGCACCAGCAAUCAAGGUAGGCUUCUUAGAGGAGGUGGCAUUUGCCAGCAUAGUAGGACAGUUUGGAUUGCUCCAGAAAGAGCAUGCAAAGAGGCGCAGGUGCUGGCAGUUGGAAGUUGUGCUGCUGCACCACAGUGGGUAAGGGUGAGGGGACAUGCGUGGGCUCAGCAGCAUCUGUUUUCAUCGGCCAAGUCAGGGGGUUGUACAGCCCAGGUCAGAAAGGUGGGCUGCAGAGGCCCCGUGAGCAGGACUGGCAGUAGAAUAUUGUGACCUUUUUUUCGGGUUAAAAUGUCCUUAUUUUUUUCACAAGAAGUUUUAAAAUGUGUGUGUGUAUGUGUAUUCAAAUUGUUACUUAAAUUCUAGUUCGUUAACAUACAGUGUAAUAUUGGUUUCAGGAGUAGGAUUCAGUGAUUCAUCACUUAAAACAGGCAGUGCUCAUCCCAGGUGUCCUCCUUAGUACCCAUCACUCAUUUAGCCCAUCCCCCACCUACUUCCCUCCAUCCACCCUUAGUUUGUACACUAUCUUUAAGAGUCUUUUAUGGUUUCUCUCUUCCCCCACCAUAUGUGCUUUGGCUUUGUUUCUUAAAUUCCACAUAUGAAUGAAAUCAUGUGGGUAUUUGUCUUUCUCUGAUUUAUUUCACUUAGCAUAACACUCUAGCUCCAUCCGCAUCACCACAAAUCGCAAGAUUUCAUUCUUUUUGAUGGCUGAGUAAUAUUCCAUUGUACACAUAUGUAUACCACAUCUUCUUUGUCCAUUCAUCAGUUGAUGGACAUUUGGGCUUUUUCCAUAGUUUGCCUACUGUUGAUAGUGCUGCUAUAAACACCGGGGUGCAUGUGUCCCUUUGAAUCUGUAUUUUUGUAUCCUUUGGGUAAAUACCUAGUGGUGCAAUUGCUGGGUCGUAGGGUAGUUCUAUUUUUAACUUUGAGGAAUCUCCAUAUUGUUUUCCACAGUGGCUGCACCAGUUUGCAUUCCCACCAGCAGUGCAAGAGGGUUCCCCUUUCUCCGCAUCCUUGCCAGCACCUAAUGUUUCUUGUGUUGUUAAUUUUAGCCAUUUUGACAGGUGUGAGGUGGUAUCUCAUCAGGGUUUUGAUUUCCAUUUCCCCGAUGCCGAGCGAUGUUGAACAUAUUUUCACAUGUCUGCUCGCCAUCUGAAUGAAUGUCUUCUUUGGAAAACUGUCUGUUCAUGUCAUCUGCCCAUUUCUUAACUGGAUUAUUUGGGCUUUGGGUGUUGAGUUUGAAGAAGUUUUAAAAUGUUUGACUGAAGUGUAGUUGACACGCAAUGUUACAUUAGUUUCAGGUGUACAACACAGUGAUUCCACAAGUCUGUACGUUAUGCUGUGCUCACCACGUGUCACCAUACAGCCUUAUUACAAGACCCUUGACUGUAUUACCUAUGCUGUGCCUGCCGUCCUCGUGACAUUCAUUCCAUGACUGAAAGCCUGUAUCUUCCACUCUCCUUCUUUGCCCAUCCCUGCCUCUUGUCCUGGCAACCGUCAGUUUGUUCUCUGUAUGUAUGGGUCUGUCUCUGCUUUUUUUGUUUGCUUGCUUGCUUUGUUUCUUAGAUUCCACAUAUGAGUGAAAUCAUAUAGUAUUUAUCUUUCUCUGGCUUAUUUCACUUAGCGUAAUACCCUCUAGGUCCAUCCAUGUUGUCACAAAUGGCAACAUCUCAUCCUUUUUUUUAAUGGCUGAGUAAUAUUCUAGUGUGUGUGUGUGUGUGUACCACAUCUUUAUCCAUUCAUCUAUUGAUGGACACUUGGGCUGCUUCCAUAUUUUGGCUCUUUUAAAUAAUGCUGCAAUACAUAUAGGGGGGCACAUAUCUUUUUGAAUUAGUGUUCUCAUUUUCUCUGGGUAAAUACCCAGUAGUGGGAUUACUGGAUCAUAUGGUAGUUCUAUUUUUAGUUUUUUGAGGGACCUCUGUUUUCCUCUCUUCUCUCCACGGGCUGCACCGAUUUACGUUCCCAUCAACAGUGCUUUUUCUCCACAUCCUCUCCAACACUUAUUGUUUCUUGUCUUUUUGAUACUAGCCAUUCUGACAGAUAUGAGGUGAUAUCUCAUUGUGGUUCUGAUUUGCAUUCUCCUGGUGAUGAGUGAUGUUAAGCCUCUCUUCAUGCGUGUCAUGGUGAAUUUUAAACAGACAUGCUGACAAGAGGGAAAAAGCAUUUCUGGAAGAUGGGUCUCAAAUAUUUAUUGAGCACGGCAAUCCACGGCCUGGGCCAAGGGGAGGGACAAGGCCGUGGGGGUUGGAGUCUCCGCCCUCCCUGCACCCCCGCCCUGAGGCAGCACAGGGCUUAGACUUGGAAGCAAGGCUUCUGUCUAGCUGGGCCCGCCCUGGAGGAGCAGCACCUCACACGGUGUUAGGCACAUAGUAAGUGCUCAACAAAGUGGGGUAACCAUGACUCAGCCUAGGCGGUGACAACUCCUCUCUCAGCCUGGAUGUUCGACGGGGUCUGUGCCAGAGGGCACUCUGGACAGAUCAGGCAACGCCCUCUUUGUGCCAGUGCCUUUACCACUCCUGCAGAAGGUGAGUCCCGAGAGCACACUCUUUGGUGUGCUGUUCCCCUGCACGUUGUAGGGGCUCACUACAGAUCAAUCUACAAGGUAAGCCUCACAAUCGCCACUUUACAAAUGGGGAAACGGAGGCUCCGAGAACUAGAAGGACUUUUGUCCGGGCUCGUGCAGCUAGAAAGUGAGGGAAUCGGGUUCUGCUGAUUUCCCAAAGCCAUUUUCUCAACCAGCAACCCCAGCUGCCUCUGAACUCGAUGGAUAGUAGCCAGGCAGAAGAGGGGUGGGGGCAGGCUUCUGCCUCCCCCCUCAGACUCACUGAAGAGAGGCUUUUUUCACUUCCCCUCUACCCUUACUAGGUCCUGCUCAGAACUGGGGCCAAAGGACCCAGGGGACCUGCAGAGGUCUCGAUGGCUUGGGCCCGUGCAUUCCAGCCACUUCCCGGGGAGUCUGAGGGAGGCGGCCUCGGCAGCAGGGGCAGCCUGCUAAUUAGGGCGCGGUGUUCAUGAUUCACUAUUCCGAGAUGUCAUUUUCUAGACUUGGGGUUGGGGUGGGAGUGGAGAAGGCACACACGGAGUUGUUUUUAAUUACAUUUGGUUUGCUAAUUUCUGAUAGAAAAUAAAUAUUUACCGGGAGCCAUAUUUCUUCAUUUCACGCCGGCUGACUCCUGAGUUUAUCGGGAGCCCAAACAGGCACCUCCCGCUCACCUCCCGCCCCCACCAAGUCCCCAACCCCCCUCACCGCCCCCCCCCCAUCACUGGAUUCACACACCAGAGCAAGAAGGGAGGGCAGGCGGACAGGGGGGAGAGAUGGGAGGGAAUGGAGAGGCGGAGGGGGGCCCGGCCUGGCUUCUGUGGGCAGCAGGCCCACUCUCCAGUGUGGACAGAGGGGAAGGGGGCCUGAGGAGGAGGAGGAGAUGUUCACGUAGCACAGGGCGGGGCUCGAGCUGGAAGCCUGGAGGCUGGGGUGGCCCUAGCUCUGAGCCAACCAGCCAGGAGCACGCCUGUUUCUACUUAUCAAGAUGAUCUCUAAGGACACUUCUGCAUCCUAUGUGUGCUAGGUCUCUCUGAGGACUAGCUUUGGAGGACUUUUUGGGGAUGAGGAUGGAAGGAAGCUUUGAAGGGCCGUCUUGUCCACUCCUUGGCCUCCAAAUGGGCUCCUGCAAGGGAGAGGGAGCAAGAAGCCGGGAACAUGGGGAGGAGGGAAAGGGAGUGAGGGUGAAUCCCCCUGGUGGGGGUGGGGAUAGGCAGCCUCCAGAAAGCAGGGUCAUCUUCCUUUCUCUCUGCUGAGGGCUGAGAUCUUGGGGUUUGCAGGGGACACCUAUAAAGGGGGAUGUCUCCCUGAUGGUGGAGAAAGGAGAGGAAACUAGAGACCCCUUAGUUGAGGGCUGGGGGCCUCUGCAGAGUGGACGGUUAGAGCAGGGCAGACUUUCUCAGCCUCAGUACUAUUCACAUUUGGGGCUGGACAAUGCUUUGCUGCGGGAGGCUGUCCUGUGCAUUGUGUCCCUCCCUAGUGCCUCUAACCUACUAGAUACCAAUAGCGCCCCACCCUGCUAGCUGUGAUAGCCAAAAAUGUCUCCGGACAUUAUCAAAUGGCCCUUGGUGUUUGUGUGUGUGAGUGCAAAAUUGCCCCUGAUUGAGAAGCACUGUUGGAAAAAUCUUGGGUGGGGAAGAAGCCUCAGAAAGAGAGGAAAGAGCUCUUGGGGACUCUGGACUAAGAGGUGAUGGGGUCCCCUGAGAGAUCCAGAAGAGAUAAGGAGAUCUGGAGGCUAGAGAAUGGAGAGGCCCCUGCCCCCAGCCUGGUUUCCAAAUCCAUGUUAAGCCAUGAUUUUUUUUUUCCAAUUACAUUUCAAUUUAGCUCAAUUACUUUUCCAUUAUUGUUCAAGCGACUCGGUUUUAAUUGAAGCUGCUGGUUCUUAUCUCUCUCAUUCCCCUACAUACAAGAGGGGAGGGAGGAGGAGGGUUGGGUUAGAGGAAGCCCACAUUGGUGGAGUUCUGGGGGCAGUGGGCACCUUGAACAGAAAGAUCAAGGCCUUGAGGGGUGGGGCACGCCCAGGAGCUCUCUGGGGCACUCCAGAGUGGCCAAAUAAAUCCGCAGGUGGGCAGGGGUGGGUGGGCGAGGAGAGGGACAAAGAAGGAAGGCUAUUAUCACAAUAUUCAUCAAGUACUGGACAUUGUUGUAGCUAAGACCAGUAAAGUAUAUGCUAUUAUCAUACCCAUUUUACAGAUGGGAAAACUAAGGCAAAGGGAAGUUAAAUACUUGCCCAGAGUUAUACGCCUGGUAAGUAGCAGGGCUGGGAGGCAAUCCAGCCUGCUGGCUCUUGAAUUUAGGUGCUUAACCCCAAGCUAUACUCUCCCUCCUUCACAGUUAUACCCACUGGCCUCCUACCAGCCCCAGCCCCAGCCCCAUCUCCCUGACAAUCCCUCUCUCCCAAGCUAUGAGGCUCAGUUCCCUCUAGGUUGUUUGACAUUCCAUCUGUCUCUAAUUCCUCCUCAGCCUGCAAGGGCUGGCCUUCACUACCUCUUCCAAGAAGUCUUCCCUGAUUGUCCCUGCCCAAAUGUACUUCCACAGCCCUGAACAUUGCCCAUCAUGGUGAGGUUGCAGGGCGGUGGGGGUGGAAAAGGCAAUAAUUUGGAGUUGGACAGAUCUGAAUUAAGUCAUCUAUGAGCUGUGUGAUUUGGGCAAAUUACUUAAGCUUAGUGAGCCCCUGUUUCUGUGUCUGUAAAAUGGGUAUUAACAUGCAUCUCUUGGGAGCAGGUGAUCUGAGGAUUAAAGUAAAGGUGAUGAAGUAUGUAAGAUGCCAGGAAGGGGUAAGAGGCUUAAGCAAGAUAAGGGGUUUUCUCAGUGAAUUGUAAUGUUGGCCCUGAGGCACAGGUAUAGCGGGGAUCAAUCUCCCCUUCACAGAGCAAACAAAUGAGCCCCAGAGAUGUCUUCAAAUCCUUCAGGGAGCUGGAACAGAAACUGUGACUGGGAUCCCCCACUUAACCCUGAAAGUUGUCAACCUAUGUAUGGCAGAGGAGACAAAGGAUAAGUGUCCACAGCUGUGAAACUUCUGAGCCCAUGGGGGUGAGGGGCUUGAGAUCUUACUCUUCCCUGACCUUCCUUGUUCUGCCUGUGAACCCAGUGAAUUCACAGAGGGACUACCCCUGUGACUCUGAGGGUGGGUAAGUGAUAGAGGUGAAAGUAAGCCCCCUGCCUUACAAUUGUAAGCCCCCUGUCUUACAAUUAUGGUUUGUCUGUGUUUUUCUCAGUUAAGAGAAUGCCACUAGAAGGAAUAGAAUAUUAGACUCAAAGUGGCUUUAAAUGGUUUUCCAGCAAAAAGUCUGAAGUGGGUGCUUUCUGGGUUGAUCAAUGACUGGGCUCUUCACAGAUUCCUCUGUUUUGCCACUUACAGCAUUUUUCAUAGCCUCAUGGUUACAAGGUGGCUGCCAAAGCACUACAUCACAGCACCCCAAGACAGCAUCCAGAGCUGUCUGGAAGGAAAGAGAAGAGAGUCCCCCUCAUCCCCUCUUUCCUUUCACUGAGGUGAAAUGUCUUUCCCAGAAACUGCCCAGCAGAUUUUCCCUAUGUCCCAUUGGCAAGAACUGAGUCAUAUGGUCACCCCAGCUGCAUGGUAAAGCCAGUCUCUGGAACCAUUACCCCAAGGGCAUACCCUUUGGGGCACCAGCUUGAUGUAGGGAGAGUCCCUUGGGAGAUCUUGACCUUGACUUCUGUACCCUUCAUCUUGCAUGUUCCCUGAACUGAAGCCCAAGUGAGCAAAUAACCUCAGGAUAAGCAGCUCUGGCCCUCACCUGUCUGGUUAUAAGCUUUCAUCUCAAAGUUGGCUCUUUCCUGCUGCCUUUUUGUCUUUUUUGAAGACUCUAAUUAAUUUCUUAAAAUAUAUUUGCCCAAUAUAUAUUUUUUUUUUUAAUUUUUUUUUCAACGUUUUUAUUUAUUUUUGGGACAGACAGAGACAGAGCAUGAACGGGGGAGGGGCAGAGAGAGAGGGAGACACAGAAUCGGAAACAGGCUCCAGGCUCCGAGCCAUCAGCCCAGAGCCUGACGCGGGGCUCAAACUCACAGACCGUGAGAUCGUGACCUGGCUGAAGUCGGACGCUUAACCGACUGCGCCACCCAGGCGCCCCUUGCCCAAUAUAUUUUUAAACAUUUACUUAUUUUUAGAGAGAAGGCACACGUGAGCAGGGGAGGGGCCGAGAGGGUGGGGCAGAGGAUCUGAAGAGGGCUCUGUGCUGACAGCGGAGAGCCUGAUGCGGGGCUCGAACUUAUGAACUGUAGGACCAGCCCCACCAGAAUCAGGGUUCUCUGAGAAGAGGAGGAGGGGAAAUGGCUGCAGUGUAGACCAUCAACAGCCAGAGCCACAGUAGCGAUCAUUACUGCUGAAACCAGAGGGACAGGCACAGGGGACUACAGGAGGCUUGCCUGUGAAAUGUGCCUCUUUGCCUAUGCUUGGAGAUGUAUCAACGUUUUCCUCAACAAGCAUUUUAUUUUUUUAUUUUCAAACCACAAACUCACAGAAGAGUUGGAAGUAUUCUUCAAAGAACAGUUUACUUUCUGAAUUAUUUGAGAACGAGUUGCACGCCUAAUGUCUGAUCACUUCCAAAUACUUCAGGGAGUAUUUCUUACACACAAGGGCAUUCUCCUGCAUUCCAAAAUCGGGAAGUUAAAAUUGAUACGUUACCACUAUCUGAUCCUCAGACCCCGUUUAGGUUUUGACGACUGUCCCUGUAAUGUAUUUUAUAGCAAAAAAGAUUCAGUCCAGAAUCAUGCAUUGCAUUUAGUUGUGAUGUCUCUGACAUGUGAAGCUUUCUUCACUCCAAAACUGUUCUCUAAUCUUUCCUUGACUUUUGCAACUUCAACAUGUUAAAGACUACCAGCCAGUUAUGUUGUACAUUAUCCCUCAAUUUCAAUGUUUCUGUUUCCUCAUGAUCAGAUUCAAGUUAUACAUCUUUGGCAAGAAAGAAUAUCAAAGAAUUGAUGCUGUGUUCUUGCACCCUAUCAGGUUUCAACAUAUACCAUUUCUGAUGAUGUUCACUUCCAACAUUUUUGAACGUAUGCAUAUAAGUCAUGGCCUUUGGCUCCAGAGUGUCCCACAGAUGCUGUCCAGACCUGCACACAUAAAACAAACUGAGGCCGAGGCAACCUUGUGCUAAAUUGCAUGUUUUGGGCAAUUCCAUGGUUUAUUCAUUCAGAGUGGAGAGCAAUCAAGGAGGACUUCAAGGAAGAGAUCAAGAACGGCUUCCAGGGAAGGGGAGGAUUUGGCAGGGUCUGAAGGGAAGAAUUAGAAGGUAGGGUGGAGAAUGUAUGAAAAGGCUCAGAGCUGAAAAGAGUAAAGCAUAUGUGACAGAGACAAUGUCCUGUAUUGCUGUGUUGUUUCUCUCGGGCCACAGAAAGACUACAUUUCUCAGACUCUCUUGCAGAUCAGUUGGGCCAUGUGACUGAGCCCUAGACAACAGAAUAUGGAUGAAAGUAAGGAACAUUGCUUCCAGGCUUCCCAUAAAUCCUUCUGCAUAAUCCUCCACUCUCUUUCUUCCCCUUGGAGAUUGAAGUUUGAAGAUGGCAGAGAACCUGGGUCCCCAAAUGAUUGUAUGGGACAGAACUCUACCUCUCCCCCACUGCCGAUCACAUCAGAUUGUAACAUGAGUGGGUAAUUAUCCUUGUUUGUGAUAAGCCACUGGGAUUUGGGGGUUGUUACAGCAGCUGGCAUACUUUGAGUAAGAUAGCAUGUGAUGGGAGACAUCGAGGAAACCAGUCUGGUUAGUACAGUCAUGUGGAGAUAUGUGAGACACAAUAAAUCCGGUUUAUAGCGGGGCCUUGAAUGUCAGGCUAAAGAAUCUAGAAUUAUUUUCAGUAGCAAAUAGGGAGCCACUUAAGGUUUACUAGUUGGGGAAAGACAUGAAAAAAGUAAUGUUUAAAGCAGAGGUGGUUUCUAGGAUAGCUUAGGUUGCAGUGAAAGAAACCGAGAGGACAUUUAGAGGCUCUUGUGCUCGUCCAAGAAAGGGAUGGUACUAAAUAGGAUUAAGUUCAGAUUGACAGAAAACCACAGAUAACGAUGGCUUACGCGAGGUGAAUAUUCAUUUCUCUCACAUAAACAAUGGCUGCCAUUGUGAUGGGUUCCCUAAUGGUGCAAUUUCAGACACCAGCAGAAGGAGUUGUAUUUUUCUUUCUUUAUAAAAAUCUGGGUUCUGAUGCUGAGGAGACGGAGUAAGCAUACCCUCCUUUCUCUCUCCCAUGGCAUGGAAUGAUCAAUUCUGAAUUCAGAGAACCAGUUUCAGAGGAUUCUGAAAAAUAAAUGGUGGCAAGUGGAUUAAGGAAGAAUUAGAAGUUUUAUCUCUCGGGUAUUGCCCACUCUGGACUUAAGGGCGGCCUAAAACUCAGAAGUGCACAUUGGGUGUGGACAGAAAGAGCUCCGUGAGAAGCUUUCUAUCUCUGGAUGAAGGAGUGGAAAAGGGGACCCCUACGGGUAUCGAGAGUAGGAGAAGUCCCCUGUGUUUUCAUUUUUACCUUUUUUCCCCCUGGCCCCAGCUCCCACAGUGGUAGCAGAGGUGAGGGGUGCACAGUGAUGGCAGAUUGGGUCAGCAGGGCAGAUGCCUAAGUCUCUGAAAGAGGGAAACUCUUAUCUCUCACCAGAGUAGCUGUGAUGCCCAUAGCAGAAGGUGAAUCCCCAUUAAUUUUUCCUUUCUCUUUGUCCUCCCACUACUUGGUCCUGGACACAGAGGCAGUAAUGGAAGGAAUGCAGCCAAGUGGGGAAACUAAAACCCCAAAUUUCUGUCUGGAGGUCUGGGAAGGCAGGCUCCAGGGAUCUGGAAAUAGUCAGGGUGGAUCAUGGAGAAGAGGGGGAGUCAAGAGAGUAAUCCCAUCAAGUUGUGUGUGAAUUCCAGGCCUUGCCUCUGAGCCGUGUAUGUCUGGAUGUGAUCCUAAACAGCUUAUCCAGCCUUCAAGAACUGAGCUUCAACACGGAUCAGACUAUCCCAGGCUGACAACUGGGUGUCACACACAUGGGACUAUCCCUCAAAGCACUACAAGUGCUUUGAAAACCAAACUGACUUUGGGCCUACAGCCCACAGAAGGCAUAACAGAACUUGCAAUCUAAACCCAAUUUGAUUGGUUGCCUGCUAACAAAAGACCCAAAUAUACUUCUUAAGAUUUAUUUAUUUUUCUUUAAAAAUUUAUUUAUUUUUAGGAAAGUGCAGUGGGGGGAGGGGCAGAGAGAGGGGGACAGAGGAUCUGCAGUGGGCUCUGUGCUGACAGGCAGCAAGCUCGAUACAGGGCUCGAACUCGUGAACCGGGAGAUCAUGACCUGAGCAGGUGUCAGACGCUCAACUGACUGAGCCACCCAGGCGCUCCCACCUCUUAAGAUUUAAACAAGACCCAACAUGUCUAGGAUAAAAUCCAAAAUUUCUUGGCAUAUGAAGAAUGAGGAAACUCUUAACUCACAAGUGAAAAGCAAAGCAACAGACACCAACCCCAAAGUAACACAGAUGUUGGAUUAUCAGAGACUUUAAAGCAGCUAUUAUAACCAUGCCUCAAGAAGUUAGGCUGAACACUCUUGAAAUAAAUGGAAAGGUACAGAGUCUCAGCAAAGUAGUAGAAGAUUUAUAGAAAAACCAAGCAUAACUUUCAGACCUGAAAAAUACAAUGACUGAAUUAGAAAAUCACUGGAUGGGCUCAAUAGCAGAGUGAAGAUGACAGAGGAAAAAUGAAAGAACGUGGGUGAUCAAUAGUUAUUCGAUUUGAACAACAGACAGAAACAAGUUUCCUUAGAAAAGUUGAACAGAAAUUGAGGGAUCUGUGGGACAGUACCAAAAAGUUGAACCUUUGUGUUAAUGCGUGUUUAAAAAUGGAAUUCAAAGCAUGGUUUCUGACCACAGUGAAUUAAACGAAAAGUUCAUAACAGAAAGAUAAUUGGAAAACCUCCAAACACUUGGGAAUUGAACAACACACUUCCAAGCAAUUCAUGGACAAAGAGGAAAUCCCAAAGAGAAAAUGUUUUGAACUGAAUGAAAAUGAAAACAAAAUACAUCAAAAUGUAUGGUGUGAAGUUAAAGCAGUGCUUAGAGGAAAAUUUAUAAUAUUAAUUGCUUAUAUUAACAAAGAAGAAAGCUCUCACAUUAAGAAUCUAAGCUUCUUCCUUAAGAAACGAGAAAAACAGUGCAGAAGAAGUAAAUAAUAAAGAUCAGAGCAGAAAUCAAUGAAAUUGAAGCCAGGAAAACAAUAAAGAAGAAUCAAUUGAAUUAAGAUCUGGUCCUUUGAAAAGAUCAAUAAAAUUGAUAAACCUAUAGCUAGAUUGACAAAGAAAAAACCAGAAAAGGCACAAACUACCAGUACCAGGCAUAAAGAGGUAAUGUCACUACCAACACCUAGGCAUUAAAAUAAUAAGAGAAUACUGCAAAUAUCUCUAUGUCCAUGAGCUUAACAGCUUAGAUUCAAGGUCAGCAAAUUAUGGCCCAUGGCCCAAAUCUGGCCCAUCUCCAGUUUUUGUAACCAAAGCUUUUUUGGAACAUGGUAUACAGGUAUGAAUAGCCCCCCUGCCAAAUUCAUGUCUACCUAGAAUCUCAGAAUAUGACCUUAAUUUGGAAAUAGGGUUUUUGCAAGUGUAAUUAAGAUGAGGUUAUACUGGACCAGGAUGGGCCCUAAAAUUAAAAAAAAUGACUGAUAUCUUUAUAAGGAAAGGAGUGGAAGAUUAGGAUACAGAAAUACAGCGAGACACAGGGAGAGGCCACAGGAAGAGGUACAGAUGGGAGUUACAUGGCCACAAGCCAAGGAAUGCUUGGGGCUGGGAAAAGCAGGAUUCUCCCCUCCAGACUUCAGAGGGGACAUUGUGCUUUGCACUUCUAGCCUCCUGAACUGUGAGAGAAUACAUUCUUGUUUGAAAUCACCAAAUUUGUGCUAUUGUGUUAUGGCAGCCCCAGGAAACGAAUACAACAGACAGGCUCACUCAUUUAUUGAUUGUCUCUGACUGCUUUUACACUACAAUGGCACAAUGGGAUGGUUGUAACAAAGACUGUGUGGCCCAAAAAGCCUAUGAUCUUUUCUAUGUGUCCCUUUACAAAAAAAUGUUUAAUGACUUUUGACACAGAUGAAACAGAAUUAAGUCCAUAAAGGCCACAAACUACCAAAAUGCACCCAACAAAAAUAACCAGAAUUAUCCAAUAUCUGUUAAACAAGUUGAACUUGUUGUUUCGGUUUAAAAAAAUUUUUUUUAAGUUUAUUUAUUUUUGAGAGACAGAGCGAGAGAGCGCCAGUGAGCAGGGGAGGAGCAGAGAGAGAGGGAGAGAGAAUCCCAAGUAGGCUCCUUGCUGUCAGCACAGGGCCCCAUAGGGGGUCGAUCUCACGAACCCGUGAGAUCACGACCAGAGCUGAAAUCAAGAGUCGGAUGCUUAACCGACUGAGCCACCCAGGCGCCCCAAACAAGAAGCUGAGUUUGUAAUUUGAAAACUUGCAAAAGAAAUCCCCUGGAGGGUGCCUGGGUGGCACAUCUAUAUCUAUUUAUAUAUAGCUAUACGUGUUAUUAAACUUUUGUUUGUUUUUCUCCUAUUAAAAAGAAAAAAAGAAAUCUUCUGGCUUGAAUGGUUUCUCGAGUGAAUUCUAACAAAUAUUUAAAGAAGAAAUAACAUCAGUUCAACACAAUCUCUUCCAGAAAAUAGAAGUGAAAAGUUCCCAACUCAUUUUAUGAAGGUGGCAUUACCCUAAUGUCCAAACAAGAUGAAGACAGCAGAAAAGAAAACUACUGACCAAUAUCGCUCAGGAACAAAGAAACAAAAAUCUUAAAGAAGAUACUGGAAACUUGAAUACACAAUGGCUAUGAAAAUAAUAAUAUACCAUGACCAGUGGAGUUUAUCCCAAGAAUGCCAGACUGGUUCAACGUUCAAAAAUCAAUCAAUGUAAUCCAUCAUAUUAACAGACCAAAGAAGAAAAUCCACAUGAUUAUAUCCAACUGAGAUAAUAAAUGUAUGCUGUUUUAAGCCGU
rnacentral:lncRNA from 1 species